CCGACUAUCGACUUAAGACCCUACCCAACAUGACUCUGACCUGAUACCUCGACUUCUAACCCGAUCCCCAACCCCAACUCGAGACCUCAACUCCUGACCCAAAACCUAGGACCCAAGACCCAAUUUUUAAUUCCGACUCUUGAUCCUGAUCUCGAAUUGAGACUCGACUAUUGCUCCUAAUCCCAACUCCCAAUCCCGAUCAUGACUACCAACUCAUGAUCCUGACCCCGACCC
rnacentral:lncRNA from 1 species